rnacentral:rRNA from 1 species
UACGAAGGGGGCUAGCGUUGCUCGGAAUUACUGGGCGUAAAGGGAGCGUAGGCGGAUAUUUAAGUCGGGGGUGAAAGCCCAGGGCUCAACCCUGGAAUUGCCUUCGAUACUGGAUAUCUAGAGUAUGGGAGAGGUGUGUGGAACUCCGAGUGUAGAGGUGAAAUUCGUAGAUAUUGGGAAGAACACCGAUGGCGAAGGCGAGCCAUCUGGACCGACACUGACGCUGAGGCGCGAAAGCGUGGGAGCAACAGG